rnacentral:rRNA from 1 species
ACGGGGUGCAGCAGGCGCGAAAACUCCGCAAUGGGCGAAAGCCCGACGGGGUUACCCCGAGUGCCACCCUCGUGGUGGCUUUUGCCCGCUCUAAAAAGGCGGGCGAAUAAGGGGAGGGCAAGUCGGGUGUCAGCCGCCGCGGUAAUACCCGCUCCCCGAGUGGUGGAGGCUAUUACUGGGCCUAAAGCGCCCGUAGCCGGCCCGGUGUGUCCCUCGUUAAAUCCACGGGCUUAACCCGUGGGCUGCGGGGGAUACUACCGGGCUUGGGGGUGGGAGAGGCGCCCGGUAUUCCCGGGGUAGGGGUAAAAUCCUCUGAUCCCGGGAGGACCACCAGUGGCGAAGGCGCCCGGCUGGAACGCGCCUGACGGUGAGGGCCGAAAGCCGGGGGAGCGAACCGGAUUAGAUACCCGGGUAGUCCCGGCUGUAAACGAUGCGGGCUAGGUGUUGGGCGGACUUAGAGUCCGCCCAGUGCCGCAGGGAAGCCGUUAAGCCCGCCGCCUGGGGAGUACGGCCGCAAGGCUGAAACUUAAAGGAAUUGGCGGGGGAGCAC